CUUGCUUCUCUUGAGAGCGGCGGACGGGUGAGUAAUGCCUAGGAAUCUGCCUGGUAGUGGGGGAUAACGUCCGGAAACGGACGCUAAUACCGCAUACGUCCUACGGGAGAAAGCAGGGGACCUUCGGGCCUUGCGCUAUCAGAUGAGCCUAGGUCGGAUUAGCUAGUUGGUGGGGUAAUGGCUCACCAAGGCGACGAUCCGUAACUGGUCUGAGAGGAUGAUCAGUCACACUGGAACUGAGACACGGUCCAGACUCCUACGGGAGGCAGCAGUGGGGAAUAUUGGACAAUGGGCGAAAGCCUGAUCCAGCCAUGCCGCGUGUGUGAAGAAGGUCUUCGGAUUGUAAAGCACUUUAAGUUGGGAGGAAGGGCAGUAAAUUAAUACUUUGCUGUUUUGACGUUACCGACAGAAUAAGCACCGGCUAACUCUGUGCCAGCAGCCGCGGUAAUACAGAGGGUGCAAGCGUUAAUCGGAAUUACUGGGCGUAAAGCGCGCGUAGGUGGUUCGUUAAGUUGGAUGUGAAAUCCCCGGGCUCAACCUGGGAACUGCAUUCAAA
rnacentral:rRNA from 1 species